CUCUAAAUUCCCCACUAAAGCCCCAGACCAUGAUUGACCUGAAGUGUUCCAACCAAAGCUUGUCGGCAGUUUUGCUAUUAUAACUGUAAGCAGCCAGUCCACUUCCCCCUGUGACAAUAACCAGGGACUCCACUCUCCAGGAGUGAUCACAGCUGAUAGGGCCCUAGUCUCUCAGCAACCUCACUCAGUGCUAUGCACUUCUUUCUUACCCCUCCUCUCCUACCGCUAAAUGGACAGAUAGACCAGUUUUUCUGUCCUCCUUAGUCCUUCAUUUGUUAUCAGGAGGCUUGAGUUCCUGUCCUGAGGACACCAAAUCCACUGACUCUGUGGUAUCUGCUUUUUUAGUCCCCAACCCUGGGCUAGUCUGUGUCUUUGGAGGAGAAGCUGUAGCAGAUACAGCUGUUCUCAGGGCUCACAGCUUACAGGUGCAGAUUCUAGUGGUAUCCUCCAGGAUUCAAGGAAACAUGGAAUGAAGUUAACCCUUGAAGAACAGUGGGCACAAAAGAAGCAAGAGUUGCCUAUUCUGCUUCCCUUUGAGCCAGACAAACAAGGAGAGCCCCUCAACACAGAUUCUAGUCACAAGCUGAGGAUGGGUCCUGGUCCCAAUGGAAAAGACUUGAUGUUGAGAAAGAUUAAAGGCAAAAAGAAAAUGACAAAGGAAGAGAUAGAAACCCUUCAAAAUGUUCUUAUAUAUAGCCUGUUUGGGUAUCUUCAACAUGCAUUUAGUUAGACCUAAAUUCUCUCAGUGAUUUAACCUUCUUAUAAAGCCUUGCUACUUUUUUCACAUGGUAACUUAGAGUCAAAAUGGUGAUUUCAUUGUCAUUGCUAAUUAAACUGUAAUAAUAAAGACUGUCUAUCUGUUCCCA
rnacentral:lncRNA from 1 species